rnacentral:tRNA from 1 species
GCAGUGAUUGUUCAGUGGUAGAAUUCUUACCUUCCAUAUGGAAGACCUGAGUUCAAUUCCUGGUCAAUGCA